rnacentral:rRNA from 1 species
CCUACGGGAGGCUGCCGUGAGGAAUAUUGGUCAAUGGGCGAGAGCCUGAACCAGCCAAGUCGCGUGAGGGAGUACUGCCCUAUGGGUUGUAAACCUCUUUUGUCGGGGAGCAAAAGCCGGACGUGUCCGGCUGUGAGAGUAUCCGAAGAAAAAGCAUCGGCUAACUCCGUGCUAGCAGCCGCGGUAAUCCGGAGGAUGCGAGCGGUAUCCGGAGUUAUUGGGUUUAAAGGGUGCGCAGGCGGAUUUUUAAGUCAGCGGUAAAAUCGUGGGGCUCAACCCCAUCCAGCCGUUGACACUGGGGAUCUAGAGUGGGCGAGAGGUAUGCGGAAUGCGUGGGGUAGCGGUGAAAUGCAUAGAUAUCACGCAGAACCCCGAUUGCGAAGGCAGCAUACCGGUGCACAACUGACGCUGAGGCACGAAAGCGUGGGUAUCGAACAGGAUUAGAUACCCUUGUAGUC